GCUAAUAAAGAAUGGAUCCAAGAAUUUUAACAUUCUGUAUCAUUGUAACCAAGGGCUAUCAUUCGUUAUUUUCUUGCCACAUACCCUCUCCAAAUUUUGUUUUCCAUUUAGAAGCCAACUUGGAUAAAUUAGGGUUCUUCUCCAAAUUGGAGAAAUUAAGUUGCUGCGAAUAUUUAGUGAGAGAUUCCUGGUAUGAUAUCUUCUGUUAUUUUCAUAAUUCUUUCUUAUAGUUUCCUUUCUAUGUACCUUUUCU
rnacentral:lncRNA from 1 species